rnacentral:rRNA from 1 species
AUUGAACGCUGGCGGCAGGCCUAACACAUGCAAGUCGAACGAGUGGCGGACGGGUGAGUAAUGUCUGGGAAACUGCCUGAUGGAGGGGGAUAACUACUGGAAACGGUAGCUAAUACCGCAUACCAUCGGAUGUUCCCCGAUGGGAGUAGCUAGUAGGUGGGGUAAAGGCUCACCUGGGCGACGAUCCCUAGCUGGUCUGAGAGGAUGACCAGCCAAAAUGGAACUGAGAGACGGUCCAGACUCCGACGGGAGGCAGCAGUGGGGAAUAUUGCACAAUGGGCGCAAGCCUGAUGCAGCCAUGACGAGUGUAUGAAGAAGGCCUUCGGGGUGUAAAGUACUUUCAGCGGGGAGGCGUUACCCGCAGAAGAAGCACCGGCUAACUCCGUGCCAGCAGCCGCGGUAAUAC